CUCUCUCCUGCCUCCAUGUAGGACAUGCCUUGCUUCCCCUUCUGCCACGAUUGCAAGUUUCCUGAUGCCUCCCCAGCCAUGUGAAACUCAUAUUGGGAAGGCAUCCGUCUUCAUCUCAUUACCAACUCGUCAAAACAGCACCAUCUGGUCACCUGUUUUGCAGAGGCAGCCCCCAUUUCCACUUUUAACAGCAUUGCAUGGAGCAGGGGAUAGUGGGGGAAACCAGUGGCUGGGAGUCCUAUGCCACUCUCAACAUGAAUGCUUACAGGUACGCUGGCACACACUACCAAUGAAAAGGCUUUUUUAAAAUAAUG
rnacentral:lncRNA from 10 species